GAUGAACGCUGGCGGCGUGCCUAAUACAUGCAAGUCGAGCGAACAGACGAGGAGCUUGCUCCUCUGACGUUAGCGGCGGACGGGUGAGUAACACGUGGAUAACCUACCUAUAAGACUGGGAUAACUUCGGGAAACCGGAGCUAAUACCGGAUAAUAUAUUGAACCGCAUGGUUCAAUAGUGAAAGACGGUUUUGCUGUCACUUAUAGAUGGAUCCGCGCCGCAUUAGCUAGUUGGUAAGGUAACGGCUUACCAAGGCAACGAUGCGUAGCCGACCUGAGAGGGUGAUCGGCCACACUGGAACUGAGACACGGUCCAGAUUCCUACGGGAGGCAGCAGUAGGGAAUCUUCCGCAAAGGGCGAAAGCCUGACGGAGCAACGCCGCGUGAGUGAUGAAGGUCUUCGGAUCGUAAAACUCUGUUAUUAGGGAAGAACAAAUGUGUAAGUAACUAUGCACGUCUUGACGGUACCUAAUCAGAAAGCCACGGCUAACUACGUG
rnacentral:rRNA from 1 species